ACUCCUUCUCUUCUCCACCGUCUGCAGAAAACUCUGCAAACUUGACGCCACCAACUCUCCUGCCACCACCAACCGCGUAUGCAAAUUCUCGAAUCAUCCACCAAAUUCACCACCAACUUCUCGUACGCCCCAUACUACCCUGUUGUGAUGUCAAUCAACCGAUUUCAUCGACUUCACACGUCUCCUCCUGCUGUAGCCAUUUGCGUGUGAAAUUGAAGAAGUUGGUUGGAAGUCAUUGUUGGAGGAAAUGAAGAGCCUAAAGCCUAGAAUCAGUAGAGUGGAAAUCAGUCGAAUUUGGUACCUGCAACUGCUGUGCAAAACAAGGAGAAAGAGAAGCAGAACAAAACUGUUUUAGUGCCUCAAACAGGUGGUGUGGUGCUGUGAAGAAAAGAGCUGAAAAAUUCUGAAGUUUGUGCUGCACAGGUUUGGGGUAAAAGCCUGAAUUGGGCUUAACUUUCAACCAAACCGUAAGCCUAAAUCCAAAUUUGAACCCUGUUGUGGGCUUGUUUAAAUUUCUAUGGGCUUGUAAUUGUGAUUUUGAAAAUCAAACUCUGAGCCAAGUUUUUAACUGAA